AUCACACGACAUAUUAGGUCACAAAAGAUCUAGAGAAACUCGAAUCAUGAUAUCACACGACAUAUUAGGUCUCAAAAGAUCUAGGGAAACUUGAAUCAUGAUAUUACACAACAUAGGUCACAAAAGAUACAGAGAAACUCGAAUCAUGAUAGACACAACAUAUUAGGUCACAAAAGAUAUAGAGAAACUCAAAUCAUGAUACCACACGAGAUAUUAGGUCACAAAAGAUACAGAGAAACUCGAAUCAUGAUAUCACACGACAUAUUAGGUCACAAAAGAUCUAGAGAAACUUGAAUUGUGAUAUCACACGACAUAUUAGGUCACAAAAGAUCUAGGGAAACUUGAAUCAUGAUAUUACAUAACAUAGAUCACAAAAGAUACAGAGAAACUCGAAUCAUGAUACACACAACAUAUUAGGUCACAAAAGAUAUAGAGAAACUCAAAUCAUGAUACCACACGAGAUAUUAGGUCACAAAAGAUACAGAGAAACUCGAAUCAUGAUAUCACACGACAUAUUAGGUCACAAAAGAUCUAGAGAAACUUGAAUUGUGAUAUCACACGACAUAUUAGGUCACAAAAGAUCUAGGGAAACUUGAAUCAUGAUAUUACAUAACAUAGAUCACAAAAGAUACAGAGAAACUCGAAUCAUGAUACACACAACAUAUUAGGUCACAAAAGAUAUAGAGAAACUCAAAUCAUGAUACCACACGAGAUAUUAGGUCACAAAAGAUACAGAGAAACUCGAAUCAUGAUACACACAACAUAUUAGGUCACAAAAGAUAUAGAGAAACUCAAAUCAUGAUACCACACGAGAUAUUAGGUCACAAAAGAUACAGAGAAACUCGAAUCAUGAUAUCACACGACAUAUUAGGUCACAAAAGAUCUAGAGAAACUUGAAUUGUGAUAUCACACGACAUAUUAGGUCACAAAAGAUCUAGGGAAACUUGAAUCAUGAUAUUACAUAACAUAGAUCACAAAAGAUACAGAGAAACUCGAAUCAUGAUACACACAACAUAUUAGGUCACAAAAGAUAUAGAGAAACUCAAAUCAUGAUACCACACGAGAUAUUAGGUCACAAAAGAUACAGAGAAACUCGAAUCAUGAUAUCACACGACAUAUUAGGUCACAAAAGAUCUAGAGAAACUUGAAUUGUGAUAUCACACGACAUAUUAGGUCACAAAAGAUCUAGGGAAACUUGAAUCAUGAUAUUACAUAACAUAGGUCACAAAAGAUACAGAGAAACUCGAAUCAUGAUACACACAACAUAUUAGGUCACAAAAGAUAUAGAGAAACUCGAUUCAAGAUAUCAAACGAGAUAUUAGGUCAGAAAAGAAACAUAGAAGCUCGAAUCAUGAUAUCACACAACAUAUUAGUCACAAAAGAUGUAGAGAACUCGAAUCAUGAUAUCACACAGUAUAGGUCACAAAAGAUACAGAGAAACUCAAAUCAUGAUAUCAUACAACAUAUUAGGUUAGAAAAGAACUAGAGAAACUCAAAUCAUGAUAUCACACAAUAUAUUAGUUCAUAAAAGAUAAAGAGAAACUUGAAUCAUGAUAUCAAACAACAUAUUAGCUCACAAAAGAU